CAAAUAAGUUGAGCGUGAGUCAGAAAAGACUGCUACCCAAUAACUUAACUUGCAUCAAACCCCCGUCUUUUUGUCCUCAACUGCAAAGAGAUAGGAGAGAGAGAUUCCAUUAUCGAUGAUGGACACGUCAAGUUGGCAAUCACUCCUUAUUCUACACUGUAAGAUGACGGUAUUGCUCGUCUUUCUUCUCCUAAUUAGUUCUCUACCAGUUAUGUCUUAGAUGUUUGCUAAGCUCUUUAUGAAUGAAGUGAGACUAUUACGGUCGGGUAGAAGCCUUUUCUUUCUGUCUAUGAGAUGGGUGAAAGGUGGUGGGUAGAUCCGUGGGGUCGUGGAAUUUUGUCUUGUUUUAAGCAGGAAAAUGGAUACUGACCAGACAAUUGAGAAGUUAGAAGCCAAGAUCGAGAUCAACAUGGAAUUUCCUCUAAGGCCUCCACAUUUUGCUGUUGUCUUUACACCAACUCUUCUGUGAAAAAUCAUUCUGAAAACUGAUGGUGCACGGUAAGUAUAAUGAAAUUUGUGCCAUUGAAGCCGAGUAACCGAAUUUCGUCACGGGAAUUGCUUUCUUUCUUUACAUAAAGAGAAAUGAUAUUUACAAUCUUAGAGUGUG